rnacentral:rRNA from 1 species
UACAGAGGGGGCAAGCGUUGUUCGGAAUUACUGGGCGUAAAGGGCGCGUAGGCGGCCUUCUAAGUCGAACGUGAAAUCCCCGGGCUCAACCCGGGAACUGCGUCCGAUACUGGAAGGCUUGAAUCCGGGAGAGGGAUGCGGAAUUCCCGGUGUAGCGGUGAAAUGCGCAGAUAUCGGGAGGAACACCGGUGGCGAAGGCGGUUCUCUGGGACGGUACUGACGCUGAGACGCGAAAGCGUGGGGAGCGAACAGG